AAAUGAAUGCCCAGUAUGAGAAACAACCAGCACUCUGAGAAAAUCAUUGGACAACAAUAGCACUUCAAAAAAUAUUUUGGGUCUACUUCAAGCUAUCAAGUUUCUAGUACAAAUAGUUGCAAAAAAUGUACUUAAUUUACACCUCAAGGCGUUCACUUUGGCCACUGUCAGAGGUAGGAUGCUCAGCUGGAUGCACCUUUGUUUGAUCCAACUGCUUCUCAUUCAGAACCAAUGGGAAAAAGACUUCAAUGAUACUUUACUGGACGGUAUCCCAGCUGAAACACAUAGGAGAUGCAUAGACUGCAAGACUCAGCUGGUGUAAGGAUGUGAGCUCAUGAGCAAUUUAUCACUAAGUUAGCUUGGGCAACCAUUUCCUUUUCCUCAUGAUAAAUGUAAAGUAACAGUACUCCAAGAAUGGUUACUAUGCCAAGGUAAGGUUUUCCAAGUGGGUACGAUCAGACUCCAGUAACAGCUCUCACACCUGCAGCCAGCGCAGAGCCUGGCCUCAAGAGUGGAUGUGUAACUGCACCACUGCAACUGAAGCCACCGAGAAAUCAGCAUCUGAGGGAUUCCAAAACCUUUCGAAUGGCACAGAAAUGAGUGCAAUUGCAUUCACUCAAGCUCUAAGCAUCUGGAAGCAGGUAUUUUUACUUCAGGGAAACUAUGCAGUUCUCAAUCAUCACUUUUUCUUUCUUUCUUUUUUUUUUUUAAAUCUCCCUAUAAGCUGGUUAUGAUUGAAUGCAUAAGGCCUCCUAGGAAAAGACAUCACUUUUGAGUUACAGAGGCACUUAUCAAAAUUGUCAGUAUUAAGGUUCUGUCCAUGAUAUACCAAUUUUCCCGAGGAGAAGAGUAUAUCUGAAUAUUCAGCUGAUUUUAUUCAAUCAGUUCUCUUAGGCCGUGCUCACAUCCUUUGGGGUAUUUGAUUUUCAUGAACAUUUGAGUGACUAACUUAUUGGUAUGCACGUUUGUGUAAAGUUAAUUUCAAAGUACUAUGCACCAGUAUUUGCAGAAGGAAAGUAAAAUCCACACACGAAAGCAUUUGUGCUGGAAGGGCUUACUGCUGUGGGACUUAUCUGAUUUACCACAAAAUCCCAACCUCCAGCAGUCAAUAGCUACUGAACUACUCAUGA